rnacentral:rRNA from 1 species
CACCGCGGUUAGACGAGAGGCCUAAGUUGAUUGUUUACGGCGUAAAGAGUGGUUAAGGAAAAUCUAAACUAAAGAUAAACAUUUUCACAGCUGUUAUACGCAUUCGAAAAAAAGAAAAACUACUACGAAAGUGUCUUUAAAAGACCUGACCCCACGAAAGCUAUGAAA